rnacentral:rRNA from 1 species
UGGGGAAUCUUGCACAAUGGAGGAAACUCUGAUGCAGCGACGCCGCGUGAGCGAUGAAGCCCUUCGGGGUGUAAAGCUCUUUCGACAGGAACGAUAAUGACGGUACCUGGAGAAGAAGCUGCGGCUAACUACGUGCCAGCAGCCGCGGUAAUACGUAGGCAGCAAGCGUUGUUCGGAAUUACUGGGCGUAAAGAGUGUGUAGGCGGUGCUCUAAGUUCGUUGUGAAAUCUCCCGGCUUAACUGGGAGGGUGCGGCGGAAACUGGAGUGCUUGAGCGCGGGAGAGGAAAGCGGAAUUCCUGGUGUAGCGGUGAAAUGCGUAGAUAUCAGGAGGAACACCUGUGGUGUAGACGGCUUUCUGGACCGUAGCUGACGCUGAGACACGAAAGCGUGGGUAGCAAACAGGAUUAGAUACCCUGGUAGUCCACGCCCUAAACGAUGCAUACUUGGUGUGAGCCAUUCAGUUGGUUCGUGCCGGAGUUAACGCGUUAAGUAUGCCGCC